CCUACCAAUUAAAACUUUACA
ensembl:piRNA 21ur-5339 ncRNA